rnacentral:rRNA from 1 species
GGUGAGUAAUACAUAGGUAACCUGCCCCUGUGCGGGGGAUAACAGGAGGAAACUCCUGCUAAUACCGCAUAGCCAUGAGCACCGCAUGGAGCUCAUGCCAAAUAUCCUUUCGGGGAUAGCGCAGGGAUGGACCUAUGGCGCAUUAGCUUGUUGGCGGGGCAACGGCCCACCAAGGCAACGAUGCGUAGCCGGCCUGAGAGGGCGGACGGCCACAUUGGGACUGAGACACGGCCCAGACUCCUACGGGAGGCAGCAGUAGGGAAUUUUCGGCAAUGGGGGAAACCCUGACCGAGCAACGCCGCGUGAGCGAAGAAGGCCUUCGGGUCGUAAAGCUCUGUUGUAAAGGAAGAACGGCGCAUACAGGAAAUGGUAUGCGAGUGACGGUACUUUACCAGAAAGCCACGGCUAACUACGUGCCAGCAGCCGCGGUAAUACGUAGGUGGCGAGCGUUAUCCGGAAUCAUUGGGCGUAAAGAGGGAGCAGGCGGCCGCAAGGGUCUGUGGUGAAAGACCGAAGCUAAACUUCGGUAAGCCAUGGAAACCGGGCGGCUAGAGUGCGGAAGAGGAUCGUGGAAUUCCAUGUGUAGCGGUGAAAUGCGUAGAUAUAUGGAGGAACACCAGUGGCGAAGGCGACGGUCUGGGCCGCAACUGACGCUCAUUCCCGAAAGCGUGGGGAGCAAAUAGGAUUAGAUACCCUAGUAGUCCACGCCGUAAACGAKGGUCACUAAGUGUCGGGGGUCAAACCCC